rnacentral:tRNA from 1 species
GGAUGUGUGGCUCAGUUAGUAGAGCACUUGCCGAGCAUCCAGGAAGUCCAGGGUUCAAUCCCCAGCACUGGUG